UGGGGUGUGGCUUAGUGGUAGAGUGCUUGCCUGGCAUGUGCAGAGCACUGGGUUCCAUCCUCAGCACCACAU
rfam:Ictidomys tridecemlineatus contig014114, whole genome shotgun sequence.